GUAUUGAAAGAACAAAAGAAGCUUUAAGUAAUAAGGAUACUUUCUUUUAUAAUAUAACGUACCUGCUGAUACAAGGAUAAUAUGCUAAACAGUGGCGUACGGUUCCAGAAUUGUACCUAGUCAAAUGGGGAACAAGUAGAGAACAAUAUCAAGAAAUGGCUGGUGGAGUGAACUUAAAGCUACCAACAAAUGAAAAAGGUAUUGAUGAUCUAUUUUCUCGUGGUUGUGCUGAAGAAGAAAGUACUGAUAUACUAUGUUCUUGUGUUUUUCCUGAAGAAGAAA
rnacentral:sRNA from 1 species